CGCUAGGAAGCUGAACAUGGGAUACAGCGUUAGCCUUUUAAGCUAAAAGUUGGUGGCCCCCGACCACCUCUAGUGA
rnacentral:tRNA from 1 species